GGGGUUGUAGCUCAUUGGUAGAGCACUUGCCUAGCACAUAUGAGGCACUGGGCUCAAAACCCAGCACCA
rnacentral:tRNA from 1 species